rnacentral:rRNA from 1 species
AUAGAGUCAAGUGAAUAAGUGCAUCAGGCGGAUGCCUUGGCGAUGAUAGGCGACGAAGGACGUGUAAGCCUGCGAAAAGCGCGGGGGAGCUGGCAAUAAAGCUAUGAUUCCGCGAUGUCCGAAUGGGGAAACCCACUGCAUUCUGUGCAGUAUCCUAAGUUGAAUACAUAGGCUUAGAGAAGCGAACCCGGAGAACUGAACCAUCUAAGUACCCGGAGGAAAAGAAAUCAACCGAGAUUCCGCAAGUAGUGGCGAGCGAACGCGGAGGAGCCUGUACGUAAUAACUGUCGAGAUAGAAGAACAAGCUGGGAAGCUUGACCAUAGCGGGUGACAGUCCCGUAUUCGAAAUCUCAACAGCGGUACUAAGCGUACGAAAAGUAGGGCGGGACACGUGAAAUCCUGUCUGAAUAUGGGGGGACCAUCCUCCAAGGCUAAAUACUCAUCAUCGACCGAUAGUGAACCAGUACCGUGAGGGAAAGGCGAAAAGAACCCCGGGAGGGGAGUGAAACAGAACCUGAAACCUGAUGCAUACAAACAGUGGGAGCGCCCUAGUGGUGUGACUGCGUACCUUUUGUAUAAUGGGUCAACGACUUACAUUCAGUAGCGAGCUUAACCGGAUAGGGGAGGCGUAGGGAAACCGAGUCUUAAUAGGGCGAUGAGUUGCUGGGUGUAGACCCGAAACCGAGUGAUCUAUCCAUGGUCAGGUUGAAGGUGCCGUAACAGGUACUGGAGGACCGAACCCACGCAUGUUGCAAAAUGCGGGGAUGAGCUGUGGGUAGGGGUGAAAGGCUAAACAAACUCGGAGAUAGCUGGUUCUCCCCGAAAACUAUUUAGGUAGUGCCUCGAGCAAGACACUGAUGGGGGUAAAGCACUGUUAUGGCUAGGGGGUUAUUGCAACUUACCAACCCAUGGCAAACUCAGAAUACCAUCAAGUGGUUCCUCGGGAGACAGACAGCGGGUGCUAACGUCCGUUGUCAAGAGGGAAACAACCCAGACCGCCGGCUAAGGUCCCAAAUGAUAGAUUAAGUGGUAAACGAAGUGGGAAGGCACAGACAGCCAGGAUGUUGGCUUAGAAGCAGCCAUCAUUUAAAGAAAGCGUAAUAGCUCACUGGUCGAGUCGUCCUGCGCGGAAGAUGUAACGGGGCUCAAAUCUAUAACCGAAGCUGCGGAUGCCGGUUUACCGGCAUGGUAGGGGAGCGUUCUGUAGGCUGAUGAAGGUGCAUUGUAAAGUGUGCUGGAGGUAUCAGAAGUGCGAAUGUUGACAUGAGUAGCGAUAAAGCGGGUGAAAAGCCCGCUCGCCGAAAGCCCAAGGUUUCCUACGCAACGUUCAUCGGCGUAGGGUAAGUCGGCCCCUAAGGCGAGGCAGAAAUGCGUAGUCGAUGGGAAACAGGUUAAUAUUCCUGUACUUGAUUCAAAUGCGAUGUGGGGACGGAGAAGGUUAGGUUGGCAAGCUGUUGGAAUAGCUUGUUUAAGCCGGUAGGUGGAAGACUUAGGCAAAUCCGGGUUUUCUUAACACCGAGAAGUGAUGACGAGUGUCUACGGACACGAAGCAACCGAUACCACGCUUCCAGGAAAAGCCACUAAGCUUCAGUUUGAAUCGAACCGUACCGCAAACCGACACAGGUGGGCAGGAUGAGAAUUCUAAGGCGCUUGAGAGAACUCGGGAGAAGGAACUCGGCAAAUUGAUACCGUAACUUCGGGAGAAGGUAUGCCCUCUAAGGUUAAGGACUUGCUCCGUAAGCCCCGGAGGGUCGCAGAGAAUAGGUGGCUGCGACUGUUUAUUAAAAACACAGCACUCUGCCAACACGAAAGUGGACGUAUAGGGUGUGACGCCUGCCCGGUGCCGGAAGGUUAAUUGAAGAUGUGCAAGCAUCGGAUCGAAGCCCCGGUAAACGGCGGCCGUAACUAUAACGGUCCUAAGGUAGCGAAAUUCCUUGUCGGGUAAGUUCCGACCCGCACGAAUGGCGUAACGAUGGCCACACUGUCUCCUCCCGAGACUCAGCGAAGUUGAAGUGGUUGUGAAGAUGCAAUCUACCCGCUGCUAGACGGAGAGACCCCGUGAACCUUUACUGUAGCUUUGCAUUGGACUUUGAAGUCACUUGUGUAGGAUAGGUGGGAGGCUUGGAAGCAGAGACGCCAGUCUCUGUGGAGUCGUCCUUGAAAUACCACCCUGGUGUCUUUGAGGUUCUAACCCAGACCCGUCAUCCGGGUCGGGGACCGUGCAUGGUAGGCAGUUUGACUGGGGCGGUCUCCUCCCAAAGCGUAACGGAGGAGUUCGAAGGUUACCUAGGUCCGGUCGGAAAUCGGACUGAUAGUGCAAUGGCAAAAGGUAGCUUAACUGCGAGACCGACAAGUCGGGCAGGUGCGAAAGCAGGACAUAGUGAUCCGGUGGUUCUGUAUGGAAGGGCCAUCGCUCAACGGAUAAAAGGUACUCCGGGGAUAACAGGCUGAUUCCGCCCAAGAGUUCAUAUCGACGGCGGAGUUUGGCACCUCGAUGUCGGCUCAUCACAUCCUGGGGCUGUAGUCGGUCCCAAGGGUAUGGCUGUUCGCCAUUUAAAGUGGUACGUGAGCUGGGUUUAAAACGUCGUGAGACAGUUUGGUCCCUAUCUGCAGUGGGCGUUGGAAGUUUGACGGGGGCUGCUCCUAGUACGAGAGGACCGGAGUGGACGAACCUCUGGUGUACCGGUUGUAACGCCAGUUGCAUAGCCGGGUAGCUAAGUUCGGAAGAGAUAAGCGCUGAAAGCAUCUAAGCGCGAAACUCGCCUGAAGAUGAGACUUCCCUUGCGGUUUAACCGCACUAAAGGGUCGUUCGAGACCAGGACGUUGAUAGGUGGGGUGUGGAAGCGCGGUAACGCGUGAAGCUAACCCAUACUAAUUGCCCGUGAGGCUUGACUCUAU